AUAGUGCCUUGCGCAGGUCACGUCCCAAACGUGCCCAUGAGGCUGCCAGAGCAGCAAUGACGAGGCAGGCGGCAAGGACUACACUGCCCAUCAUGCCCCGCGCCAACCCGCGCAGGCAGCCGCUGCCAGGGCAGGCCCGGGCGCCCCGCCCGCGGCAGCAGAGCUCGGCGGCGGCUCUGCCACCUGUUUGCCGACAGGGCGGGCUGCGGAGCGCGGCAGGGGUGGCAGCGGCAGCUCUGUGCGCCGGGAGCUCAGCGAGGCUCCCAGGCGGACAGACCGCCGGAGGCAGGAACCUGGGAAGGGAGAGGGUGCCUCUUCGGCGCCCAUUUAUAACGAGUGAGAGUAGCAAGCAGUAACAGUGUUCUUCACAUGGGAGAGCACUGUAAAACCAGUAGAAUUUGGACUUCUACCCAAAUGCUGGCUGAAGGUUAUUUUGCCCACUGCGACUGGGCCUACAGGCUCUGAAGUGAACAUCUGUGCCUCUACAGCUAAGAGACUUCUUAAUAGCCUGUUGAUAGAUCUAAUAGAAAAAACCCAGAAAUGUUCAUUGGAGCUUUUGGAAACAUUUUUGAAUCAGAGAUAAGUUUAAUUCCUGGCCACAGAUCUGAUUCCUGAUAAGUUAGAUGAUAGUUGAAGGUACCAGUAUCCAGUCUGGUCUAUGUGGAAGAGUUGAUGGAUCUCUGUUUAUUUAGGGUACAGUUUGGUCAAUAUGAACUUGUAGCAGUGAUGCUUGAUUACAUACACACUUUUCUAAUAAAAGUUGCUUCAAAAAUGUUUCAGCAUAAGCAGCAUCCUGAGCAACCAUGAAAGAAAAUUACAAAGGGAUCUUUGGCAUCUUCCUGUACUGAGAUGCUGUGUUUUGUGUACUCUGGAUAAAGCUCAAGUCUUGACCUUGGACCAGAAAAUUUUUUGAUGCUCUGCCAACUUUCAAAAUCAGAGAAAUUUAGCAUCAACUAGGAGAGAAUUAAAGCAAAAUAUUAAUUUUUUAUACAGUGCCUAGUCCUUUAAUACUUGGACAAGAGCAUAAAACAUCUGUGUUGGCCAGCUGUGGGUGCCUAUGGAUGAGGAAAAGAACUUGAAAAAGAAAAAAAAAGAAAAAGAAAAAGAAUUCUGGUUUAAAACAUAACAUGCUGACAGCAACUGAAGUCUCUCUAAUGGCCUGUCUAGUCUGGACUAUCCAGUGUGUCUUCCACGAACCCUGGAUUUUUCUGACACUAAAUAUCAUCUGACAUCCACCAAUGUAAGUAGAGGGAAAAGGAGCGGAAUCUAAAAUGUCAAAACACAUCACUGAAAGAUUACAAAGGCAUCUGUCUCAGCUAGGGAAGAAGAACCAGAACUGUCCAGCUCUGAAUAUAAUGUUACUGAAUCCUGAAUGCAUGACUCUCGAUCUGGUUCCUGUUCCGGAAAUCUCAAGCUCAUGGCCUUAUUCAAGGAGUGUGAGGAAGCAUGUAAAAAAGUGGAUGGGAAAGAAAACCAUGCAACAGAUAAAUAAUUCAUCUUACUACAGUGCUGAUCAGCCGCCUGGGGGGAUAACAAAUGUAUGAGACCUGGAGAAUUUCUAUCUUUCCUAAUGAAAAGAAGAUUUUGAAUAACCAUAGCAACAGUAAAACCUGCUGUGAAUCUUACAGCACCAAGUGUUGCAGGACUGUCUGCAAAGGUCUCCUGUUAGUCUCUGCAACCAUCUGUUAUUCUGUUUCAGCAGUCCAAAACAUCAAACAGACUUUUUUUUUUAAGCAGUUGCCAAUUUCACUGAAAGAGAAGGACCUCAUGAAGAAGAGGAGAACAGAAUAAACAACAAAGAUGCAGAAAGAAAAGUUGCAAGCUGAUGGAGAAGCUUUUAUGCUUGCUGACAAGUUUAAAUGAAAGCUCAAAUAUCCCUUUCUGAGUAGGUGGCAGCGUCGCUCCUAUCCACCCUCAAGCUGACACUCCAGGUUUCACUUGACUAGAGUCACAGAGCACAUUCCCUGAGUGCGGAGAGAGAAGACAGAAAGAUGGAUAGUAAUUGCACACAAAUAAUACCAGACUCUCUUGAAUGACACCAGUUCAGUAUUCCCCAACAAGCAUGAUAUUUCCUUUUAUAUUUUUAAUAACACUAAGGGAGGAGAAACACAGAUCAUGAGAUGCAGAGACUCUAGUGCCAGCCACAGCUAGAAUAUCUGGUUUUGUUGUUGCUGUUGGCUUGUACCCUCCUGGAAGAAAGAAGAAAUGAGACAGACGUCUGAGAUCCAUGACAAGUACUGGUUGCAGCCACAGCAAGUUGGUUGCAUUCAUUUUCUUUAAAAGUCUGUUCUUACUGUCUGUGCAUUAAUGAUUUUGCUAUUUAUUAUCUGAUAAACAAAGGAUUGGCCGUCUGCAAGAAGCAAAUAAUGAGAGGCUAUACCCAGGAGAAUUUAAAAUCACUACAUCCAAACAGGAAGAACCUCAUGGGGAGGUCCCUGAGGAGGUGUUAACUUAGGAUGCCAUCUAUCUAUCAGUGUGUUGCAUCAAAUUAUGUACAUGCCAUGCACUGAUGAAGAUUAACGUUCGUGGUCUCACAAGGAAGAAAUGGCCUGGCCCAGCUCCAGCUCGUCAUUCUGGGAGGAGGCACUGAGAAACCUUGGCCCUGAAUUGAUUUAGCCAAAGUGAGCCAGAGGACACCCAGAUGCUUCGCAGGAGGGGGAUCAAAUCUGUACUGAGGCUGAGGUUUAAUGUCUCUGUGGGUUUUCCUUCGUGACCCUACACAGUGAUUAUCCAGGGGCAUCUUGAGGAAUCAUAUUUGGAGAACUGCAUGAAAGCAAGCUGGCAGAUGCCAUAGUGAAUUGGCAAGUUUUUAUAUGCCUCUCCUAAGUGACAUGUGCCCUCCAUGGCUAACAGCUGGCUGAGAUCCUCUCUGUACACCGGGAUAACCAUAGCGCGGGGAUAUUUGAAGCCAGCUGCUGCAAGAGGAUUCCAAUGGACACCACGUACGAGUGUGGUAAAGGAUGUUCCCUGACCUUCUGCUUCCCACAGAAAGGGAGAGAACUGCUUCUUCUCAAAGUCAAAGACAGAGGAAAAGCUCAUCCUUAUGAGCAGAGCACCAUGUGGCAGGACUUUUUCUCCACACUGUGCAGUGUCAGAUUCCCUCGAAAAGCACAGCGAUUUCGGCAAGGUUGGACAAUGCUUUGGGCAAGCUGGGCAGAGCAUAAUACCUAGCGUUAAUUAGCGAUUACAGGCACAUGAUUGUUAAUGCAGUGUUAAUUGUGAUGAUAUUUCAGUAAUUUGCUCAAUAUCUUCCAGGCAAUUUGUCCAACCCAGUGGCUGAGUGGUCAGCAUGAGGAGCUCAUUUCAAUGGAGCAGGGGAGAGGCAAAAUCUAUAUUGCCUGGGGCCUCAAAAUAGCUGGGGCUGAACUUGAAUUUUAAAUCCAGUCGAAGAGCAUGGAAGAAGGAUGUUUGUUACAUAUAGAUCAGGUGUAACACGGCCUGCUAACAUACAGGAUUUAAUCCACCUCCACCCACAGCUUUUCUCAAAGCUGAAAAGGAAACUAAUCACUUGCCCCAGACAGGCUAGACAGGAAGCAGAUUUUCCACGUUGUCAGAGAUUCUGCUGUACUUAAUCCUUCAUUCCCUACAGGUGGGCUGCUAAUCCAGGCUAAUCCAUUAACAGUGUUGUGGGUGCUGAUGAGGCUGUGUCACCUCUGUAGGAGCUAGGGGAGGUCAGGAAUCAGCAAAGAUGUAUUUGUACAAUGCUGCUAUGAGGAAUUACCACCCUGGUCAGGGGCAGUCCUUUAUCUCUGUACUUCACAGACAGCACUGUGCAUGAGCUUUCUGAGUGCCACUGUGCUCUCGUAGCAAGUUCUUAUCACCUGUUUCACAUAUGUCUGGGAUUGUCUUUUUUGUAUUAUUCUGAAUUAUCAUUGCUUUAUCAGAGUUAGCUCAUUUCUACCUUAUCCUGGACAGUUAUGCAUUGAUUGUAUCUCAUAAUUUUCUCCUGUUCCCAAAGAGGAUAAAAUAUUUAUUAUUUUUAUUAUCUUUAUAAAUAUAUUUUAUUUUUAUAUGUCCUAUGGAAAAAAAGUAACCGCCUCAGACUGAUUUGACUGUUUUGUUUUGAGUGUUUUUUUUUUUAUAAGGUACACAAAAAGAUAAUAGUUCUAAAGAGGAAACUUUCCAUCUGGAAAUGCUGAAAGAAAUACGACAUUUCGAUGAUAUCACAAUGUUUUGUUUCCUUUCUCUUCAAAAUGAAAUCUUAAAUCAACAUGUUUAUCAAGAAAAAUAAUCAGAGAAAAGCAUUUUCUGCUAAUACUUUCAUGAGAAAUUGAUGACAAAAGGAAGAACUGGAAAGGUAGUCCAGUUACCCCAGCCGCUUCACAACGUAGGAUAGCUUGUCACCCAGGUACUGACUAAAGGCCGUGGCUUACUAUGAUAUAUGGUUACCUGUUUAGUGGGACUAGUACUGAGACUCUCUGACACAUUGCAUAUAUGUCACCAAAAAUUAUGUGGCAGCAAGAGCCUGUGGUUACUGUGUGCCACAGUCACCACUGAUGUGGUGACACUGGAGUUUCUGCUCUCACAGACAUUGAGUGGCUGCAGAAAGUAAGGCUUGGUCCAUAUUUAGGGAUUUGAAUUUCACACACCAUUAUUUCUCUAGUGAAUCAUGCAUACACUUCUCUUUGUUGUAUAUUGCCUGCAUAUAUGUAUGAUUUUGUAUAUAUAUAUUUGUGUAGAAUUUAUAUGGUUGCAUUUUGCAAAAAUCUGAGCCUCAGAAGAUCUUCAAUUCUUUACAGAUAUCGGUCCCUGAAAAGAAGUCUUUAGAGGGUAUAUACAAAGUCAGUUUAAAAAGAGGCCUUUGUGUCAAAGGAUUGGGGGUGAAUGGAAACAAGACAUGUAAUAUAGGGAGAGCUAUGGUAAGCUUCAUUUUGCAUUAUUUGCACAUAUGUUUAACUUGCAAUGCUACUAAAUCAGUUUUUUUAACAGAUAACUUGCUAAAGACAGUACUUAACUUUUCACACUAUCUUAAUAAACAAAUGAGAAAAUUUUGGGUUUUCUUAUCUUUUUGUGCAGCUCUGGAUCAGUCGUAUAAAUAUACUCACAGUAGCCUCUGUCUAGUGGUAAUCUGGAGCAUAGGACUGGGUAGGUUAAUAAAAGAAAUACAUUUCUUCAUUCCGUUAUGUGACCAGGGAAAAGGUAAUUGGAAAUACCUGAGUAUUUAUAUUUCUUUCUAAAAGUGAUUCCACUGGUAAAUUAACUUUAUUUCUUUGCA